rnacentral:rRNA from 1 species
UACGGAGGGUGCAAGCGUUAAUCGGAAUUACUGGGCGUAAAGCGUGCGUAGGCGGUUCGUUAAGUCUGUUGUGAAAGCCCCGGGCUCAACCUGGGAAUGGCAAUGGAUACUGGCGAGCUAGAGUGUGUCAGAGGAUGGUGGAAUUCCCGGUGUAGCGGUGAAAUGCGUAGAGAUCGGGAGGAACAUCAGUGGCGAAGGCGGCCAUCUGGGACAACACUGACGCUGAGGCACGAAAGCGUGGGGAGCAAACAGGGA